rnacentral:rRNA from 1 species
UGGGGAAUAUUGCGCAAUGGGCGAAAGCCUGACGCAGCGACGCCGCGUGAGGGAUGAAGGUUUUCGGAUCGUAAACCUCUGUCAGAAGGGAAGAAACCGCACUGUGCUAAUCAGCAGUGCCUUGACGGUACCUUCAGAGGAACCACCGGCUAACUCCGUGCCAGCAGCCGCGGUAAUACGGAGGGUGCAAGCGUUAAUCGGAAUUACUGGGCGUAAAGCGCACGUAGGCUGCUUUGUAAGUCAGGGGUGAAAUCCCACGGCUCAACCGUGGAACUGCCUUUGAUACUGCUUAGCUUGAAUCCGGGAGAGGGUGGCGGAAUUCCAGGUGUAGGAGUGAAAUCCGUAGAUAUCUGGAGGAACAUCAGUGGCGAAGGCGGCCACCUGGACCGGUAUUGACGCUGAGGUGCGAAAGCGUGGGGAGCAAACAGG